AGCCCUGUGGCCCAGCGGCAACGGCAGCUCCCCUACAAGGAGACGAUCGGGGGUUCGAGUCCCUCCAGGGCUA
rnacentral:tRNA from 1 species